rnacentral:rRNA from 1 species
CGUAGGGUGCAAGCGUUAAUCGGAAUUACUGGGCGUAAAGCGUGCGCAGGCGGUUUUGUAAGUCUGUCGUGAAAGCCCCGGGCUCAACCUGGGAAUUGCGAUGGAGACUGCAAGGCUUGAAUCUGGCAGAGGGGGGUAGAAUUCCACGUGUAGCAGUGAAAUGCGUAGAGAUGUGGAGGAACACCGAUGGCGAAGGCAGCCCCCUGGGGUCAAGAUUGACGCUCAUGCACGAAAAGCGUGGGGAGCAAAACAGGAUU